rnacentral:rRNA from 1 species
GACGAACGCUGGCGGCGUGCCUAAUACAUGCAAGUCGAGCGAAUCAAUAGGAGCUUGCUCCUGUUGGUUAGCGGCGGACGGGUGAGUAACACGUGGGCAACCUGCCUGUAAGACUGGGAUAACACCGGGAAACCGGUGCUAAUACCGGAUAAUCCUUUUUCUCUCAUGAGGGAAAGCUGAAAGUCGGUUUCGGCUGACCAUUACAUAUGGGCCCGCGGCGCAUUAGCUAGAUGGUGAGGUAACGGCUCACCAAGGCGACGAUGCGUAGCCGACCUGAGAGGGUGAUCGGCCACACUGGGACUGAGACACGGCCCAGACUCCUACGGGAGGCAGCAGUAGGGAAUCUUCCACAAUGGACGAAAGGCUGAUGGAGCAACGCCGCGUGAGCGAUGAAGGCCUUCGGGUCGUAAAGCUCUGUUGUUAGGGAAGAACAAGUACCGGAGUAACUGCCGGUACCUUGACGGUACCUAACCAGAAAGCCACGGCUAACUACGUGCCAGCAGCCGCGGUAAGAC